AGAGUUUGAUCCUGGCUCAGGAUGAACGCUGGCGGCGUGCUUAACACAUGCAAGUCGAACGAAGCACUUUACCUGAUUUCCUUCGGGGAUGAUUGUUCUGUGACUGAGUGGCGGACGGGUGAGUAACGCGUGGAUAACCUGCCUCACACAGGGGGAUAACAGUUGGAAACGACUGCUAAUACCGCAUAAGCGCACAGCACCGCAUGGUGCAGUGUGAAAAACUCCGGUGGUGUGAGAUGGAUCCGCGUCUGAUUAGCUUGUUGGCGGGGUAACGGCCCACCAAGGCGACGAUCAGUAGCCGGCCUGAGAGGGCGACCGGCCACAUUGGGACUGAGACACGGCCCAGACUCCUACGGGAGGCAGCAGUGGGGAAUAUUGCACAAUGGGGGAAACCCUGAUGCAGCGACGCCGCGUGAGCGAUGAAGUAUUUCGGUAUGUAAAGCUCUAUCAGCAGGGAAGAUAAUGACGGUACCUGACUAAGAAGCUCCGGCUAAAUACGUGCCAGCAGCCGCGGUAAUACGUAUGGAGCAAGCGUUAUCCGGAUUUACUGGGUGUAAAGGGAGCGUAGGCGGUCCUGCAAGUCUGAUGUGAAAGGCCGGGGCUCAACCCCGGGACUGCAUUGGAAACUGUAGGACUAGAGUGUCGGAGGGGUAAGUGGAAUUCCUAGUGUAGCGGUGAAAUGCGUAGAUAUUAGGAGGAACACCAGUGGCGAAGGCGGCUUACUGGACGACUACUGACGCUGAGGCUCGAAAGCGUGGGGAGCAAACAGGAUUAGAUACCCUGGUAGUCCACGCCGUAAACGCUGUCUCUUAUACACAUCUCCGAGCCCACGAGACGGACUCCUAUCUCGUAUGCCGUCUUCUGCUUGAAAAAAAA
rnacentral:rRNA from 1 species